UUUACAGAUGAGAACACUGAUGUCCAGAGAGGCAAAAUAACUCGCACAAGUGGUUAAGAAGCAGAAGCAGGCUGUGAGCCCACAGCUGUCUGAACCCCCAGUCUGUGCUUCUUAAAACCACACCAGGCUCUAAGGAACGGCCCCAGCGUCAAGGCCAUCUUCAGGCCAGGGGUGCCCUGGGCUCACUGGGGGCCUCCUCGUGACUGUGAAUGGUGCCUGAAAACAGAGCACGUGGCUGGCAAGGUGCAGUACGACCAGAUCCUUGGUACGGUGGUCAGAGUGCUGACUGGUCAGCGGCCCUCAACAUCCAGGCGAGACCCUCCACCAGCAAAAAGAUUACAACUCGCUGAAGGUUCAGAUGAUGGUUAGCAUUUUUUAGAAAUAAAAUAUCUGUUCAUUAAGGUAUGCACAUUGUUUUUUAGACAUAGGGCUAUUGCACACGUAAGAGGCUACACUAUAGUGUAAAUAUAACUUGCAUACGCACUGGGAAACUCGCUUUAUGGCAAUAUUCGCUUCAUUGCAGCGGUCUGCAACUGAACCCGAAAUAUCUCCAAGGUCUGCCUGUAUUUGCCUCAACUAAAUCUAAGAAACAUCGCAUAGGCUCAACCCUUUUUGGCCGUUUGCUGAGCCUAUUAGCAUAUUUUGCUGAGCUCAUUAGCAUAUUCAGGACAUCUGUUUAAUUUCCCUGGAUCCAGCAUGUGUUCAAGGCCAUGCAUUUUUAUGUAACACCUGUUGCAAAACAACCUUUGGAAAACCGGCCCUUCCGGUGUCCAUCUCCAGGGUCUACAAAGCAAGCCCAAGCCUCUUAGGUCUGGUUGCUGAGAGGGGCCUUGCCCGGUCAGGCUGGGGUUGGAAUUCUGGCUCUGCCACUCGCCAGCUGUGCGCCCUGCAGCAAAUCCCUUGACCUCUUGGAGCCUCAGUUUCUCUCACAGGCCUCAAGUCCAGCUUUGAUUAUCAGAGACCGAUGACCCCACACUGCUGCCUGCCCUCUGGGACACCUUCACUGGCCGUCCCCGCCGUCCUCCACGUACUAUCCUACGGAAAUACCUGCCUGACAUCUCGCUUCUCAGCUUAAUGCCUCUGAGUGGUCCGCAGCUCUGAGCCGAGAUUCUUCACUUUUCCUGUAGGAAUUUGAUGAGUCUCUCUAACGUGCACUCUCCCCAGAAAAAAUGUGCAUAUGCAAAAUUCGAGAUGCAAUUCCGGGGUCCCGGUCAGUCCUGAAGCCCUUCCUCGGAUGUCCUUGCGUUUCGUGAAUUCCGGUUCAAGAGCCCAGCUUCUGUGACGAAGCCCAGCUCUCUCAUGUGACCUACACAGCUUGUUACCCUCUGCAGACUGAAGACCUCAGGCCGUCUGUCCCCCAGCCCAGUCCCCCAGACUUCAGCCUUGCCUCCCAGAAACUCUGAACCAGGUGUGGAUCCCUGCACCUGCCCCUCUGCUUCUACGAGUUCCACUUUUUUAGAUUCCGUAUACAAGCAGAAUCACACAGUAUUUAUCUUUCUGUGUCUUGCUUAUUUCAAUCAGCUUAAUCUCCUUCAGGUCCAUCCAUGUUGUUGCCAAUGACAGGAUUUCCUUCUUUUUUAAGGCUGAAUAGUAUUCCAUUGUGUGUGUGUGUGUGUGUGUGUGUGUGUGUGUGUAUCACAACUUCUUUAACCAUGCAUUCGUCUACAGACAUGGCAGACACUUAGGCUGUUUCCGUAUCUCGGCUCUUGUAAAUAAUGCCAUGAACAUGGGGGUGCAGAUAUCUCUUCAAGACCCUGAUUUCAUUUCUUUGGGUAUAUACUUAGAAGUGGGAUUGCUGGAUCCUUCUGAGAAGCCAUUUUAGAUGUUCUUCCCUAACUGCCCACUGCUAUCGAAUUUUAAUAUCCUAGGUAUUCUGUAUAUCUGAUGAUAUACUAUAUGUAUAUCUGUUUUAUACACAUAAAGUUUACCUUUUAUAUUCGAUGCAAAGUUAAAGAUGACUAAAUAACAUUUGAAAGUUAGAUUAAAAACUGAAAAGCUGUCAACGUUGAACUUAACUAUACUUUCUGAGUAAAUUUUAAUGUGACUUAUUUAUGUGCGUAAAUUGUCAAAUUAUGUAGACAAAGAAGAAUGUAUACAAACAUAUAAUGAUGAGAGCAAUGCAAGCAAGUCUUAAAAUGUCAUUCAAAACUGUUAUUUUUCUGGCAAAACAAUGGACAAAAUUAAUUUCUUAAAAACUAUUUUCAGUAAAUUUAACUUUCAACUUUUGCUUAAUACAGGAAGGUAACCAGUUGAUAAGGCUGUGGUGUGGGGUGGAGUGGUCUGGGAGGCCCCUGUGAGAAACAGUGGGACCCACCGGAUGCUCUCUAGCCUGCCAACCUUCCAA